CCUUACUCUUCGUGUCACAAAAGAGACCUGUGAAAUCUGAGACUUCAGAAUGAGGAAGUCCAAUGCAAAUGAUGCAAAAUGAAGCAAAUCUUCUAAUUUAGGUCUAGGUGGCUGCCAUAGCAGAGCAGGAUUUAUGAAAAUGCACAAAGAGUUACACAAUCACUGCUGAAGUUAUCUUAAGACAAAAUUGCCUCCUUCUAAGCCCUCAUCAGACCUUCUCCCAAGCCUGUAGAAGUGUUUGACCUGCUCCUUUCACUCUGAGUCUAGUCCCCAGUGCCUCAUACAGCAAGACUUGUAUGGACAACUGACAACAAAGAUGGAAACUAAAACUGGAGACUACAUAAGAAGCAUGGUCUUCCAUACAGUGGAAUUUUACACUUCUAAGUAGAGGUAGAGAUAAAACGACAGUAGCUAUCACUGCCAAAGGCUACUGACUAGUGAUAAAAGCCUGGCUUCACAUAUAAUCUGAGCAGAUGGAACCUAGCACUUCAGUUCCUGCUGUCUAGAUGAAUCCCCAGG